rnacentral:rRNA from 1 species
AACGAACGCUGGCGGCGCGCCUAAUACAUGCAAGUCGAGCGAGAAGACGUAGCAAUACGUUUGUAAAGCGGCGAACGGGUGAGGAAUACAUGGGUAACCUACCCUCGAGUGGGGAAUAACUAGCCGAAAGGUUAGCUAAUACCGCGUACGCUCCUUGGACUUCGGUUCAGGGAGGAAAGCGAUACCGUGGGUAUCGCGCUCUUGGAUGGGCUCAUGUCCUAUCAGCUUGUCGGNGAGGUAACGGCUCACCAAGGCUUCGACGGGUAGCUGGUCUGAGAGGACGAUCAGCCACACUGGCACUGCGACACGGGCCAGACUCCUACGGGAGGCAGCAGUAAGGAAUAUUGCGCAAUGGGCGAAAGCCUGACGCAGCGACGCCGCGGUGGGGGAGU